rnacentral:misc_RNA from 1 species
UCCGGCUUAACGCCGGCAGUUUCCUUAGAGUGCCCAGCCUAACCUGCUGGCAACUAAGGAUGAGGGUUGCGCUCGUUGCGGGACUUAACCCAACAUCUCACGACACGAGCUGACGACAGCCAUGCAGCACCUGUGUGGUAGCCAGCCAAACUGAAGGAAGGCAUCUCUGCCGACCAUACUACCCAUGUCAAGGCCUGGUAAGGUUCUUCGCGUUGCCUCGAAUUAAACCACAUGCUCCACCGCUUGUGCGGGUCCCCGUCAAUUCCUUUGAGUUUUAAUCUUGCGACCGUACUCCCCAGGCGGAGUGCUUAAAGCGUUAGCUGCGUCACUGAAACCUAAUGGUUCCAACAACUAGCACUCAUCGUUUACAGCGUGGACUAC